CUUGUACUCCCUCCGUCCGGAAAUACUUGUCCUUAAAAUAGUUGUAUCUAGACUUAUUUUAGUUAUAGAUACAUCUAUUUUAUCCAUUUCGUGGACAAGUAUUUCCGGACGGAGGGAGUACCAA
rfam:Triticum aestivum genome assembly, contig: Triticum_aestivum_CS42_TGACv1_scaffold_289741_4AL